rnacentral:misc_RNA from 1 species
CCGAGUUUACAACUCCCAAACCCCUGUGAACAUACCUAUAUGUUGCCUCGGCGGAUCAGCCCGCGCCCCGUAAAACGGGACGGCCCGCCGCAGGAUACCCUAAACUCUGUUUUUAUUGUAACUUCUGAGUAUAAAAAACAAAUAAAUCA